rnacentral:lncRNA from 1 species
UGUUUAUUUGCUCUUAUUGUUACGCUACUCUAGUGUUUGCAACUGUUAUAUUAUUUUUAGUUAAAUAAUGUCCUCUCCACUAUGUGUCUAUUUUAUGUCUUCGCCUGUUAUGCUUGCCUGCCCUGUGUAUCUACAUCCUAGUCUGUUAUGCCUCUUUUCUUAUGUUUCUGCAACUUUGUACCUGCCUGUCUUAUGUGAAUCUCUCUCCCUUUACCCCUUUUUAUGAAGAGUACAGUUCCAGUCAAGGAAGUAUCCUAUUAUUGCUAUCCAUGACUUUGAACUGGGUUCUUUUGAACCCUUACUCAAACCAAUUCCCACUCCCUCUUUCCCCUUAUGUGCUGAGCCUUGACUCAAGUCUGGUGGUGUCCUAAUCACCAUCCAGACCCAGGUCUGACCUCUAAAGUCUGCUCUUAUUUUGUUUGGAUAAAGUAAAUGGUCAGGGGUGUGCCAGUCUAUUCCCAUGGCUGGGCAUGACCACCAUUUGCUAUGGUUCCCUAAUCCCUCUCUCAAUUUGCACUUAUUCCUAGUUCUAACUUCUGCCCUUCUUUGUUAAGCCAUGCUUUGGGACCUUGGAGCUCCCUCUGAACUUGGAUGCCUGAGGGCUGGCUACUCCAUACUGCACUAUUCGGUUCUAAUUAUUAUCCAGAGUGUAAACACUGCCUGGAGCCCUUGAGGCUCCUUGGAACUCUGAAACACUUUGGAUAAGAGAGGGCUUUGGAAAUCUGGAAUUGUUUAAUCAUAUUUUAUUGGAAACUAAGGUUGCAUUAGGUUGUUUGGAUCUAGGUGUAGACUUUGAUGUAUUUUACACUUCUUCUUUCAUCUUUUUCUUGUUCUGUAAUACGUUUUGCAUAAGAACUUCGGGGAAGUAUUAGUGAAAGGGUGUGGAAGGGAUUUUCUUUUUCUUGCAUCAAAUAAAGGGUAGAUGUCAUGUCUACAUGUUUAAUGUUUAAAUCAGUCACCUAGAUACAGUGCUAUAGGUUUAAUUUUCAUUCAAUCACUUAGAUACUAUGUCUAUAGAAUUAACAGUCAUCUAGAAAUUCUGCCUAUAGGGUUUAAUACUUUAUCAUCUUGCAAAUCAUUAGAAAUCCUGCCUAUCGGAUUUAAUAUUUAUAUAAUCAGUUGUAUAUAGAAACCAUGUCUAUAGGAAAUGCAUACGCAUUAGGCAAGCCAUAGGAUAAUCAAACGAUCCCUCUUUCAUUAGUUUAAUAACAGGUCGUAAAAAAUAAAGUAUAGAUAUCAUGCCUAUAGGAUUUUGUCUCAAAUCGCCUGAUUUGUUUAUGUUAACUGGCCUUAACGUCUAAUAUAAUAUUUUCAUUAAAACUCUUAUAAACCUGUAAUGCUUUUAGAAAAAACAAUUCUGCAAAUAUGUCUAAGAUAAUUUCUUUAAAUCUUCUGACUAAAUUUUAUUCAUCUUUUGAAGCUGUCUUUCAAAACAAUCUUUCAACUCACUCUUUCUCUUAAGGUAUUUUCACUCUGCAUAUAGAAACCAUGACUAUAGGACAUGCAUAUGCGUUCGGCAAACUAUAGGGCAAUCAAAUGAUCCUUCUUUCAUCAUUUUAAUAACAGGUCUUAAGAAAUCAAAUCUAUAUAUCAUGCCUAUAGGAGUUCGUCUCAAGCUUUCCUGAUUUGUUUAAGUAACAACAAUCUGUUAACCGACCUUAACGUCUAAUAUAGCAUUUUAAAUAAGGAAAAAAACUCUUAUAAGCCUGUAAUGCUUUUAAACUCUUUAUAUCUGCAUCUUUUCUGUAACACUUGUUUUUAAAUCUUCUGCCUAACUGUUUUAUUCUGUCCAUAAAACUAUCUUUCAAAACAGCCUUUCAACUUGUUCUUUCUAAGUUUUUAAAGUAUUCUCUUUUUUAAAACUCUUUUAACAACUUUCAUGUGUUUUACUUAAACAGUCUGCUUAAAUAUUAUUCCUGAACUUACUGUAAUCUCGACUCUCUUUUCAACUAUGCUGCAUCAGGCCAUCUUUUUUCUGAAAUUAGUAUUUUCUGAUUAACCCGUUUAAAAUACUUUAAUUUCCAACAAUUGGAUCCAAGUUGCGUAAUGCAGACUUUUUAUCUAAUUCUAUGUGUUAGACUAGUCCGUCUGAUGUUUAAUUUAAAGACCAAACCAGUAUGUGAAAGGCAUGCUAAACUAAAUGUCAUUUGAUCUACGUGGUUUCUGUGAGCCUUACAUGUUUGUUUGUUAAUACCCCUACUUGUUAUGUGUUUUGUUUGCAGAAACUAGUAUUUUAUCCAUUAAAACUCCCAAAUAUGCCUUUACCCUUUCCUUUCCCCUUUUAGGGUUAGAAGUCCUAAUACCCUAGGACUGAUAAGUUGGGAAGGGUAGUAGCAUGCAAUAAGUAAACGAUACUAAUCACGUUUAAAUACCUUAAUGGGAUGGGAAUGGUAGAAUAUGGAGAUGAUGGCCGAUGCGCUAAUAUCACGUGCAUCCAUACUAAUCACUUUGAGGAGUGAUUGCUGGGUAUUGCAUUGAAGUGAUCCAUAUUUUGUAUAAACCUAGGACCCCCUUUCGUUUAUUUGUAGUGUCUUCUUUAAUUCUGUUCCUUUUAAUUAACUCCUUUUUCUAAAACCGUCCAUUCCCAUCUUAUUUUCUUUUAGGCUUUAAACUUAUUUGUGAAUCCAUAUGUGCGAAUUUUGUUUGCUUCGUUCUAUUUCUUUUAAAGUCAAAAUUAAAGCAUGGCCGGGAAGCACACUAGUGGAUCUUAAGGGGUGCGUAACACCUUCCCCUCUAGAUAAUCUCAAGCCAUUACCCGAACUCUGAUUUUCUUUCAAAAUCGCUUCUUCUCCUUAUAGUGUCCUAAUACACUAUAAUCGUUAGGUGGCGACUCUCCAAAUUCUACAAAUCCAAAUCCCCCCGAGAGUGAAUAAGAGUUAUUUCCCCAUAAUAUCAUAAACCCUAUUUCGCUCUUUAAAAAAGGGGGCGUCGACAGCAUGGCGACUCUGCUGGGAUUUCUUUAGGCUUUUACCAUUACAUGCUUUGUGUGACUUUAUUGAUUCCCUAAUUGCCUUCAUUUAUUGCCUUUAAUUAUUUCGUCACAUAAACUAACUUGGUUGUUCAUGUUUUCCCUUUCUUUUAAUUUCUUCCUUUACUGCUUUAUUAUUAUUUAAAUACCAUUGUAGUUUUUGAGCAUUUAUUGUAAUGUUUUACUUUAUGAACGUGAAAAUACAUGCAAUUUGCUUCAUUCUUGUAACUGCAUCUCGUGCCAAAAGAAAUCCUAUAGCAACGCUUAUAAUGGGUGGUUGUGCCCUUCCGAUAUUAUAACCCCAAAAUGUGGCAAAGGCAUAUUUGCGGUUAAACCAGUCGAUCAACGGUGUAGUCAACGAUUCCGCGCCUGUCCCUUUUGAAUUGUCCGCUCAAAGGUACCUUAUCUAGCACUUCAAAAGUAAAACCUUAUUCUGUUAAACUGUUCAUGCAUCAUGGUCAAACUUAGCCGAGUCACUUAUGUUGUCUGCAUAAUGACUCAUUAAGAUAGCCUAAUCCAAAGUCCAUCAGUCCUCGAAACCCAAACGGACACUUCCAUGUUAUGUGAAUUUAUUUGGAGAUCUAAAUAUCCUUAUUGCUAAUUAUUGAUUUAAAUAGUCGAGUCUGGUGGGGUAGGGCCUAACGCUUUGUUUUGCAGAAAACGAGGCACGAAGUCCCGAGAUUCGGUAUGGUAACCAGCAUUCACCCAAGGCUACUAAGCUGGUGGGAAGACCUUCAUAUCGGUGAUCGGACCCUUCUCCACAAGUACCUAGGAAACCUUCCUUCGCUCCUGGAAGUCCGGCCUGACAACAAAAUUAUCGAAGCUGCUACUUUAUUGUGGGAUAAUGAUUGGUCGGUGUUUCUCUUCGGGGACCUCAAAAUGACCCUUUACUGGAAGAAAUAGGGGGUCUAGUUGGUAUACCUUGGGAGACUCCGGGUCUACUUAUGCCAGAGAAACGCAAGGGUAGGGGUUUCCUCAAAAUGAUGGGACUCAAGAAGAAUCCGGAUCUGACUUUCCUGAAGAAUUCCUGCAUACCGUUUGAUUUUGUGUAUGAGAGGUUUGGCCAUAGAAAGUCCUAUCGCACCUAAACUGACAAGUUUGCCCUUACCUCGUUAGGGCAUAUACAUAGAACGGUCUUUGUGUUCAUGUUCUGUUUCCUGGGUAUGAUGGUCUUUCCUACGAAGAAGGCUAGGAUCCAAACCAGACUAGCCAUGAUAACCAAGAUCUUAAUAGAAGGGAUCAACGGGCAGUCUUUCAGCAUAGUGCCCAUGAUCAUCGCUGAGAUAUAUCCAGCCUUGGGAAUACCAACAAGGGGCCCCACACUUCAAAGGUUGUAAUCGGUUACAUAAACUCUGGAUUGUAAAAAACCUUCAGAAAGGUGACUAUCGACAGGAGAUUAUAUGCAAGGAUUAGGAUGACCAUAUCGCUUUCCACCACCCAAAGCGAACGAACUUCAUGCCCAACAUGUUCGCUCAGCCGGAGGAUACUGGAGGAUGGGUAGAGCUAUUUGAGAAUCUAAAGGAAGAUCAAGUACAAUGGAUGUUCGAGUGGUUCCCAAUAGGGGAGUUCAUUGUUCGUUCUCGGGAUGCAACCUUCCUCAUACUCAUCAGUCUGAGGGGAGCUCACCUUAUGUACCUCUUCAAGCAAUGAGGCAAGUUGGAAGGAAGCAGAUCAUACCAAGGGUAGAUAAAAUAAGUCAUUUCAAGGCCGACUUACAGGACGAUGAUAGGCGCACAGGUGUAAAGCUCAGCAUAUGUGGCACUGCAAGCUCGUCUUGGGAAGAGAAACUAUCGAGGCAGAUAGGUAUCAUGCAUGAUGUGUACCACACUACUUGGGUUUGUUGGAUAACAAUCACACUGGUUUGGGUCAUCCAGGUUUUAUCCGAGAUCACAGGCUUAUUGAUGAAAAGGCUGAAGCGCAAGUUAAGUACAAUCAAUUGCACAAAAGAAUUUAGGAAUGCAAGAAUGAACACCGGGAAAUACAAGAAGCUCGCCAGAAAGGGAAGUUCUUGAAGAGGGGUUAGGGUAUCUGGAAUGAGGUCUAGUAGAGUUGGAAGGAAAGUUCUUGAAGAGGAUUGAAGACUGGGAAAAUGCCGAAGAAAGUGAAGGCGGGCAUCUGGCCUGAGCCUAUCUGCUGCUAGGACUACGCGAGUUGAUUCAGAUGUACGAGGGAGGCGAGACUACCGAAUUUGGGGAAGGUCCUUCUGUGACCAAGUAGUUAGGAUCUUUUUUUUCUUGCUUUCAUAAUGUAAUAAGGCCACAGGCCAUUAGUGAUGUCUUUAUUUCCGUUAUUUCAAAUUGCAUUUUUAGACUUGUCUUAUUUUUAUCAAUUAAAUGAGGCAUUUAGCAUUAUAAGUUCUCCAAAUUUAAUUUAUCGCUAGGCUUACCUCGGGCACAACGAGGCACCCAAAUUAGGGAACGACUUAUAUUCCUGCACAACGUGUUUAAAUAUUGCAAUAUCCCUUUUCUCAGAAUCCGUACUGACUUUUUACUUUUUUUUUGCUUUCCUUUUAUUUUUAUUCCCUUCCCCCCAGAGGUUAAUUCGUACAUUCUGGCACCAUCAUCAUAGUCAACAAGAUCCAAGGAUCCUCCACUUCCUCCUCCUUCGGGUCCUACCAAAAACGGAGAAGGCAAGUCAAAGCAAAGCCGAUGCACCUGAUACGACUAAAAAAGAGAGCAAUGGUCUAAAACCCCAAGCAAUUGACCAGGAGAGGAUCAUCGGGAAUGGACUAAGGGCCUACCAACCCUUUCUUAAUCUAAGGCAUCUACCCCUGGCAGAAAAGAAGACAGAAAGAAAGCUGAUUGAUGCCUUAGCUUCGGAACAAAAGCAAAAUAGGAGAUGCAAAUGCUAGAAAGGAAAUUGAGGAGACGUCUCACAAUACUCCAAUUACCAAGGGAUUACUACUCAUCUUGAGAAGAUAUUGCUGAAAUUUUGGGAAGAAUUGGAUCAAGUUCAGAAUUUGGCAAGCCUGUCAAUCACUCUUGCCGCUCCAAAUGUCCGCAACAACCCUCUGCCUGACCACAAGGGUGGAGGCAUUCAUAUGACCGAGAUAGAGGAUGAUUGGGACACCGAAGGGUCAAUCAGAUUGAUUGCUGAAGGAGAUAAGCCUAAGAAGCCAACGGUCACCCUCAACCCCAUUGUUGUUCAGAUCCAACCCUCUGAAGGCGAUGAGGUAAAUGUGUCCAUACCACUCAAGUUCGGCUCGCCUCCUGCAAAGACACCAAAACCAAUUGAGGUUGAGUUCGGAACUCCACAAGCACCUGCACCAUUUGAAGCUUAUGUUACCUCUGAGGAUGCCUAUUCCGGUCUCCAUGACACAAGAGACACCAUUCAAUUCAAAUUCCAUACCUUAGGAUUACACAACGGAAGCUAGAAGAAAAGGGAAAACACAUACUGGAGAAGCGAUCGUCGCACAGGGCAUGAUCAGAACUGGAAGGGUAUACACUCCAAAACAUCUACCUAAGUCCAGCAAGAAAACCUCUGGACAGCCUGUUGAAACUGGACCUGAUGUGACCUUUGGAGAAAGAUACAGGCCAAAGAAUAUUCAGUCAUUGAUCAACUGAAAAAAACACCAGCGCAGAUUUCCAUCCUGGCUCUUCUGCAAAGCUCUGAGGCGCACAAAAAUGCUUUGAUUAAAAUACUGAGUGAGGCUUAUGUUCCCAGCAACAUAGCAUGAGGCAAAAUGGUGAAUAUGGUAGGACAAGCGCUGGAAAGCAACAAGAUCACUUUUCACGAGGACGAGUUACCACUAGAAGAACUUAGUCACAACAAGUCAUUGCAUAUCAUCGUGCAAUGCGAAGAUUAUUUUAUCACCAGAGUCCUGGUGUACGGGGGAUCCAGCCUUAUCAUUUAUCCACUGAUAACCCUCAGAAUAUUGGGGAAAGGUUUGCACGAGAUCAAAGAUGGAGCUACCAAUGUUAAAGCUUUUAAUGUGUCUCAAAGAUCUACAAUUGGAGAAAUUAGCCUGUGAUUGCAGAUGGGACCUACUUGGUUCGAUGUUGACUUCAAAGUUAUAGACGUGCCAACAUCCAACAAUUUGUUGCUGGGACGACCAUGGAUUCACGUUGCGGGAGCUGUGGCAUCGACCUUGCACCAAGCCGUAAAAUUUGGAUUGAACCAUAAAGAAGUGAUCAUUCAUGGCGGUGGUAGCAACCCUAUAUACAGUCGCCAAACCCUCCCAAUGAUUGGAGGCAGAAGAAAAAUAGGUGGAGAAACAUACCAUCACAUCGAGCGAGUCAAUGCCGUGGACAAAGACAAGUGGUGGGAUAAAAAGAUUGAGAGCAUCCUAAAUUGGAACAGGUAUGAACCCGGAAAAGGACUUGGCAAAAAUCUCCAGGGUAUCACCAAACCUAUCAAACUGAAGAAGUAUGGUACUACUUUUGUCUUAUGGUAUGGGUACACCUGGAAAGAGUACAAUGAGUAGUCACAACCAUGGCGUGGCCCCUACUACCCGCUGGAUCACCCUAUACCCCGGUUGGAGCAGACCAUUCAUCCAGCUAACACUUUAUAAGGAUCAGAGGAAUAAGAGGCAUUAGUAGCGAUGAAGAACCUAUUUCUGGAAGAUGAUAUGGACUGCUAUGUUAUCUUCGAGGAGGAAGGGGAGGAAGGCCCUUCCGUACAGGCUGUGAAUCAAGGAGUACGCUUCACUAAUUGGUCGUUUAGGAUCACCAGUGCCCAGAAAGAUUCGUGGUGGAAAGGCUAAACAAGCGCUAUGCAUCGCAUCUUUAUUUUUACGAGUUGAUUUUUUCUUCCCGCAUUGUCUUUACUUUUGGAAAGAGCUCCGAUAUUUCGAACAAUUAUGAAUUUAAUCAAAGCAUUUUCCAAGUUCAUUAUAUAUCUUGCUCUUAUUACUUUUCUCCAUAAUGUACUUUAUUUUACAAAACAUUACUAUUAUAUAUCUUGAUGAUGAACCAACGAGUGUAACUUGCAAUGAGACAACGCAACAAACGAACAUAGAUUCGGAAGAGGAUGAUAUACCAGAAGAGGUUGUCAAAGAAGUUGAGAACUUUGAGAACAGGCCUAGAUCUAAUUUUGACGAAACUAAGGUUAUUAAUUUGGGGGGAUGCAGAGAAUGUCAAGGUAACGUGUAUCAGCGUGCAUUUGUCGCAAGCAGAAAAGAAAGAGUACACCUAAUUCUUAAAAGAGUAUGAGGACAUCUUUGCAUGGUCUUAUGACGAUAUGACUAACCUCAGCACAUCCAUUGUAGCUCACAGGUCGCCAAUAGAUCCGACAUGUCCACCAGUAAAAUAGAAGCUCAGAAAGUUCAAACCCUACAUGAGUUUGAAAAUCAAAGAAGAGGUUACCAAACAAGUCGAAGCAAGGGUUCUCAGAAUGGUAGAAUAUCCAACAUGGUUAGCCAACAUCGUGCCAGUACCGAAGAAGGACGGGAAGGUUAGAGUCUGUGUCGACUACUGGGAUCUCAAUCGGGCCAGUCCCAAAGACGACUUCCCCUUACCAAAUAUACACGUCCAAAUCGACAACUGCGCCAAGCAUGAGUUGUAGUCAUUUGUCGACUGUUUUGUUGGAUACCAUCAGAUAUGGAUUGAUGAAGAAGAUGCGAAGAAAAUAGCUUUUAUCACACCAUGGGGAAUGUACUCUUACAGAAUGAUGUCGUUUGGUUUGAAGAAUGCUGGGGCCACCUACGUAAGGGCCAUGACUACCAUCUUUCAUGACAUAAUACAUAAAGAAAUCGAGGUGUAUGUGGAUGACAUCAUCAUCAAAUCCAAGAAGGUUGCAGAUCAUAUGAAAGACGUAAGAAAUUGGGAAGGUACAACUUGAAGUUGAACCCCGCCAAAUGUGCAUUAAGGGUUCCUACUGGAAAUUUACUAGGUUUCAUUGUGAGCUGACGAGGGAUAUAAUUGGAUCCGCCAAAGGUUAAGUCCAUUCAAGAGUUGCCACCGCCAAAGAACUAGAAGGAUGUGAUGAGCUUUCUGGGGAGACUCAACUAUAUCAGCCGAUUCAUAGCUCAGUCCAGUAUUAUUAUUGAACCUAUCUUCAAGAUGCUGAAGAAGGAUGCCGCCACCAAAUGGACUGAUGAUUGAUAGAAAGCUUUUGACAGACUCAAAGAGUACUUGUCAAUGUCGUUGGUCUUGGUUCCGCCUGAACCAGGAAGACCUCUACUGCUUUAUCUCGCAGUGUUGGAUGGAACGUUUGGUUGUGUUCUGGGACAAUAUGAUGAAAUAGGGAGAAAGGAGCAAGCAAUCUAUUACCUCAGCAAGAAGUUGACCCCGUACGAGGCUCGAUACGGAUGGAUCACACUUGUUGUGCUCUAACCUGGGUAGCUUAGAAAUUGAGGCACUAUUUUUGUGCUUAUACCAAUUAUCUCAUAUUAAGGAUGGAUCCGUUAAAAUAUAUCUUCCAGAAGCCUAUGCCUACUGGAAAGCUCGCCAAAUGGAAAAUACUGCUAAGCAAAUUUGACAUUAUUUACGUCACUCAGAAGGUGGUCAAAGGACAAGCUUUGGCCGAUCGCCGAGAAUCCUGUGAAAGGAGAAUACGAACCACUAAAGACAUAUUUUCCUAAUGAAGAGGUAGCUUUCAUAGGAUAAGACAUUGCAAAAUCCUGUGACUGUCGGAGGAUGUUUUUCGACAGAGCUGCGAAUUUCAAAGGAGUUGGAGUAGGAACGGUGCUGGUAUCAGAAACCGGUCAGCAUUACCCAGUAUCCUCCAAGCUCAGGUUCCUAUACACUAACAAUAUGUCCGAGUACGAAGCCUGCAUCUUAGGGCUUAAACUGACCAUUGAUAUGAACAUUCAAGAGUUGUUAGUGAUUAGAGACUCAGACCUACUCAUACAUCAGGUUCGAGAAGAAUGGGCAACCAAGAAUUCUAAGAUACUUCCUUAUCUGCAUCACAUAUUGGAGUUGAGGAAGAGAUUCACAAAGACAGAAUUUCAACAUGUCCCCAGAGUACAGAAUGAAUUCGGUGAUGCAUUGGCUAUGCUAUCAUCCAUGAUCCAACAUCUAGAUAAGAAUUUUAUUGAUCCCAUCCCGGUAAAGAUUUAUAAUCAGCCAGUGAGAAUCCAAAAUAGCAUGACAUGGAGAUAACCAAUCCAUACCCAAUAUCACAUCAAAGUUUACCAUACUAAACAAUAAGAUAUUGAUUGUAGUCUCUAAUCCCCUAAUAGUCACUACACACGAUUGGUAUGUAUGGUUUACGUAAUAGAUCACCCACCGGCAUAAAGGAGUUGAGAAAGAGAUUCAGAAGGACGGAAUUCCAGCAUGUUCCCAGAAUACAGAAUGAGUUCGUGGAUGUACUAGCCGCCUUGUCAUCCAUGAUUCAGCAUCCAGAUAUAAUUUUCAUUGAUCCCAUUCAGGUCAAGAUUUACGACCUACCAGCUUAUUGUGCUCACGUUGAGGAGGAAGCUGACGGGAAACCAUGGUUUCAUGACAUCAGAGAAUACUUGACAACAGGAGAAUACCCAGAGUUUGCCAAUGCUACUCAGAAAUGCACAUUUUGGAGGUUAUCCAACAACUUCUUUCACAGCGGAGGAAUCCUGUACAAGAGGACUCCCGAUUUUGGUUUGUUAAGGUGUGUCGAUGCAAAAGAAGCAACCACACUAUUGGAUGAAGUGCACGGAGGGACGUGCGAACCGCACAUGAAUGGUUUAGUUUUGGAAAAGAAGAUACUCCGAGCAGAGUAUUUUUGGAUGACUAUGGAAAUAGACAGCAUCUAGUAUGUCCGAAAGUGCCACCGUUGUCAAAUUCAUGCAAAUAUGAUAAAGGGCCUCCAAACGAGCUUAAUACAACAAGCUCACCAUUGACGUUUGCCGCUUGGGGAAUGGAUGUUAUUGGAAUGAUCGAGCAUGUCACAUCAAACGGAUACAGGUUCAUCAUAGUGGAAAUUGAUUACUUUAUAAAUGGGUCGAAGCAGCAUCAUAUAAAGCAGUGACCAAGAAAAUUGCGGCAGACUUUGUCUACGACCGAGUUGUUUAUCGGGUCAAAAUUUUGGAAUAAGUCAUCACCGGCAUUGGUUCCAAUCUCAGCAGCAACUUAAUGAAAGCAAUGUGUGAAACAUUCAAUAUCAAACACAAACUCGACAGCUUAUAGACCUUAGACGAACGGUGCGGUAGAGGCAGCCAACAAAAACAUCAAGAAGAUACUAAGAAAGAUGAUUAAAAGGCACAAGAAAUGGAAUGAGAAGUUGUCAUUUGCCUUAUUGGGAUAUCGUACCACAGUCCACACAUCAAUCGGGGCAGCUCCUUACACGAUGGUUUAUGGUACAGAGGCAGUCAUUCCCGGUGAGGUAGAAAUUCCAUCUUUGAGAAUCAUACAAGAAGCACAGUUAGAUGAUUCACAAUGGGUAAAAGGUCGCUACGAGCAGUUAACCCAUGUAGACAAAAAGAGAAUGAAUGCAGUUUUCCAUGGCCAAUUAUAUCAAAACAGAAUGUCCAGAGCUUUCAACAAAAGAGUUAGACCAAGGAAGUUUGCACCAGGAUAGCUGGUGUUAAAGAGAAUAUUUCCACAUCAAGAUGAAGCCAAGGGGAAAUUCUCUCUCAAUUGGCAGGGUUCGUACACGGUUCACCGGGUUCUAACUGGAUGAGCCCUUAUUCUUGCAGAUAUGGACAGGGAAGUCUAGCAGGAGCCAAUCAACUCAGACGCAGUGAAGCGAUAUUAUAUUUGAUCGCAUGUUUCUUCAUGAUGUAAUUUGAACAACACCUGACCUGAUUCCCUUUUAAGAAGGGAUACGUAGGCAGCCCUAUGGGUUUGGUCAUAUUUUAAUAAAAAAUCCAUUUCCCCUGCUAUUGGAACUAGGGAAGAAUUUUGAGGAGGACCCUCAAAAUUCCGAAGUCAGUUUUCCAGUCAUUUCAUCAGCAUCAACCCAAUGAACUGGUGGGACCCUCAAAAUUCUAGAAUCGAUCCGUUUUUGUUCAUCAGCACAGCCGGCAGCAGUGCCAACCCAGUAAGCUGGGGCAAAAUUUUGAGGAGGACCUUCAAAAUUCCAAAACAAGCAAGGUUGCCAUGUCUUGAACCACGUUGCAGUUGUUGGUUCAUCAAAAAUAAAAUUGUUUUCAAAUAUUCACUUACAUUAUAUUUACUAAAUCAUGCAUAUAUAUCGUUUGAAUUGUUGUCGUUUGGCAACGCUACCCCAAUGAUACACGGCUUCAAGAGCCCUGGGAAUACAACAAGCUAACCUUCCCUUGUAUAGAACUCACGAUUUUUCUUUGGAUGCAUGCACCCCAAGCCCCAUAUCAUUGAAUACAUUCACUCGUACUCUUCAAGGUUGAAAGUCUCAGAACGAUUGCUCAAUCUCAAGUUUACUAUCUACACCCAACAUCCUCAACAGUCACGAUAUCACAACCAUCUAUUAGCUAAGAGAAUUUACUACUGUUCGCCCAUUUACAUUUCUGCAUUGCAUAAGGCUAGUUUCCUGCCUUCCGAGGUUAGGCUCUACCUCUAUCCUGCAUAAGGCUACUUAUCUGCCUUUCGAGACUAAGCUCUGUCUCCAUAUGCAUUUUUCAUAAGGCUACUUAUAUGCCUUCCGAGGUUAAGCUUUACAUCUAUCCUGUAUAACGCUACUUAUCUACCUUUCGAGACUAAGCUCUAUCUCCAUCUGUAUCUUCGCAUAAGGCUACUCUUCUGCUUUUCGAGGUUAAUCUCUACCUCCAUCCUACAUAAGGCUACUUAUCUGCCUUUUGAGACUAAGCUUUGUCUCCAUCUGCAUAAGGCUACUUAUCUGCCUUUCGAGACUAAGCUCUGUCUCCAUCUGCAUUUUGCAUAAGGCUAUCUAUCUGCCUUCCGAGAUUAAGCUCUACCUCUACCAUGCAUAAAGCUACUUAUCUGCCUUUCGAGACUAAGCUCUGUUUCCAUCUGCAUUUUGCAUAAGGCUAUCUAUCUGCCUUCCGAGGUUAAGCCCUACUUCCUGCAUAAGGCUACUUAUCUGCCUUCCGAGACUAACCUCUGUCUCCAUCUGUGUUUUGCAUAAGGUUACUUAUCUGCCUUCCGAGGUUAAGCUAUACCUCCAUCCUGUAUAAGACUUAUAUGCCUUUCGAGACUAAGCUCUGUCUCCAUCUGCAUUUUGGCAUAAGGCUACUCUUCUGCCUUUCGAGGUUAAGCUCUACCUCCAUACUGCAUAAGGCUACUUAUCUAUCUUACGAGACUAAGCUCUGUCUCCAUCUGCAUAAGGCUACUUAUCUGCCUUUCGAGAUUAAGCUUUGUCUCCAUCUGCAUUUUGCAUAAGGCUAUCUAUCUGCCUUCCGAGGUUAAGCUCUACCUCCAUCAUGCAUAAGGCUACUUAUCUUCCUUUCGAUACUAAGCUCUGUCUCCAUCUGCAUUUUUCAUAAGGCUAUCUAUUUGCCUCUGAGGUUAAGCCCUACCUCCUGCAUAUGGCUACUUAUCUUCCUUCCGAGACUAAGCUCUGUGUCCAUCUGCAUUUUUCAUAAGGCUACUUAUCUGCCUUCUGAGACUAAGCAUUGUCUCCAUCCUGCAUAACUGAAAUAUUGCCACUUUAAUUCUCGCUUUGGUUGAAAUACCAACACCUGCAUUUAUAUUCUCGCUUCAGCUAAAAUAUUGCCACCUGCAAUUAAAUUCUCGCUUUGGCUGAAAGAUCGCCAUCCUAUGCAUUCAUUUGGUUGAAAUAUUGCCACCUUCUCAAGGGAUAAAAGAUCGUUAAUUCAUUCAAAGGUGUCAUAGUUUGGAGGCACCAUCUGCAUAACCCAAGAACACCAUUUCAUGGCCUCCGAAUCUUUACUUGUAUGCUCUUCAUGGCCUAGGGCAUCAUAGUCCGAGGACGUCAUCCUAACCUUCUGAAGACAACAUUCAUGGUCCAACGGGAACUUGCAUCAUGUUUUAAUUAUGCACAAUAUACGUUGCAUUUCUCAUUUGUAGGUACACCAGCUAGCAAACGGCCGUCUCAGCAAGAGCAAUCCCGCUCCGGUUCUCCGCAACCUAUUCGACUCCAAACACAUUUUAAAAUCUAACCAUCGCGUCCGUAUUUUUGAAUCUCCAUCGACACGUUCCAUCAAUGGUUCCUGAACUACAUAUGGCCAGAUUCCUGUAAAAACAAGGAUAUGUAGGUAGCUCAAAAUCCAAGGCUCGGUCAGAAUUCUUUUCAAUCGCCGAUUCGGUGGAAAUUGGUCAUCUUGUCUUUACCCGACAACUCUUUCAUCCUCCUCGGGUAAAGAGGGGCAGCUGUUGAUACCCAAUUUUUUCCUAUGUAUUUUUUAUACCCAAAAUACUUUCAAGAUAGCUGUAUGUGCAUAUAUGAACAUCACAAAAGGUUUUGACAUUUUUAAGGAUUUUUAAAACUUUUAUGUCCAAUAUUAAACUAUAAAACCCAAUAAUUAUUUCCAAAACUUGCUAUUUUGGAGAAUAAUAUAUUUUAUUCUCAUAUUUACACAAAAAUUUAUUUACCAUAAUAUUUGGAAUAAUUUUACAAACUCGUUUGGUAUUUUUAAAAUUAAUUGUAUGCAAUUGCAAUUUUAGCCCACUUUCAUAUUUAAUAGCAUUUUAAUUACAAAAUCAAUUCCAAUAUUCUUUAAAAAUAAUAUUACAUGUUACGUAUUAACUAAGUUCUUUAAAUUUGGUUUUAAAAUAUUUUUUGCUAUUUUUGUAAAAUCAAGGAAAACUGCUAUUUUAAAUAUGGCCUCAAUUUCUUUCAAUCAUAGCCUAUUUUGCCCCCCCCCCCUAAUUGACCCUAAAUCAGGCCCCAAAUAAAUGACUCAAUUAAGCUCAACGCGAACCCUUUACCUAUUUUGUCCAACUCAUCUGUUUGUAUCAUUUAAUCUUGGCCGUUGAUCAUUUUGAUCAACGACCCACAUCCCUUAUUUCCUUUUUAAUUUCGAACCACCCUAACCCUACUCUCAUUUUCAUUUCGAACGCCGCCCUCAAACCCCCCUUCUCUCAAACUCUCUCUAGCACUCAAAACCCUGGUCGCCUCUAUCGUCUUCUCCGACCAGUUCUCGCAGGAGUCCAUGGCUUCUCAGGCCAUGGACGACCAGUGAUCCCUUCCCUUCACCCGAAAUCAUGGUUGUUCAAGGCUUUCAAGGAUCAACCUCAAUGAUGCCUGUUCAGAUCCUCCGCCGAUUUGUGUUCCUGUGGCUUCUCCAGCUUCGUUCCGACGUGUUCGAGCCUCAAGAGCCUAGAUAUGGUCCAGACCUAUUCAAGACCAGAUCCUUUCCAAGCAUUCUCAUUUCUAGGGUUUUUGAGAAAACGUAAAAGUUGUUCGAGGUUCCUUCUUCCUUUAUUUUCUUAGAUUUGUGGUAGAUCUGUGUUAUACUCGAAGUUUCACUAUUUUCCCCCAAUUUUCUUCUUCAAAAUUAGUCAGUUUCAAUUUAGGGUUUUCAAAAAAAAUUAAAACGAUUUUUGUUUCUUCUUCUUCUUUCUAUAUGUGAAUCUGCAUGUAUAUGCUUUGUUCUUAUGUUUUUUCACUUGUGUAUGUCUUCUCUUAUGUUCUUGUGUUUUUCCGUUACUACACAUGUUUUUCUACUUGUGCUCUGUUAUUUCCUCUACUAGUUUCUACAUCAUGAUUUUACAUGUCUAGCUUAUGUGUUACUUUACCAUUUUCUUACUAAGCUUCUUGUAUGCCUUUAUUGGACUUUUGUUUGAGUUCAAAACCUGUCACCUACUGUUUCUUAAGUUCUAUGUCACCUCUUUCUCUCCUGAACUGAGUUUUCUUAAACCUGUUCUUUAUGAUUUUCACUCUUUUGCUUCGAACUUGCUAUGGUGUCUAUGUGCCUUCUUAGAAGACUCUAUAAGAGUCCUCUAAGUCUAUUUUGAUGGCUUGCCUUCUCCUUUCUGUGCCCUACUAGAAUUUGAAACCCUAAGGUUUGGGGUUUCUGCGAGUUUUGGUCUUUCUGUUUGGACUACGGUUCUACUUUGGAACCCUGGGAUGAACUGGAAUCUUCUCUUUCGUUUAUGGUUUUGAAACUUUCUAUGACAGUCUUUUCUUUCUUGUUUGACAUUUGUGUGCUUUAUAUAUGAGAUCUUUUCUUUCAAAAUGGUCCUGCCUACUUGUGAUUGAUUCCAAUUUCCUUUUACUAAGGCCCGAUUGAUUGUUAUUGAUUUUCCAAUUAAACCUUUCCCUCGCCAUUUUUUUCUGACUAAGUUCAUUCGAACAAAGCUUUCAAUUUACUGGCUAUUUGAAAUCAAAUGCCUUACCCUUAGGGAGACCUUCUGUGGUUGAUUGUAAACUAUUUUCUUACCUUUUGCAUACUCGUUUUCUGCACUAUGAAAGGGGAAUACCCUUCUGCUCUUAGAUACAACUUCACACUUCAGACUUUAAUUGAACACUAUACAAUUUCAAUACUUUCUCUACUACAGCUUUCUCUACUUUUAAUACUGAGCACUCUGCUCCUCUUCUCUUUUACUGUCUGAAACAUUCUUGAGUUUCUUUUGAACUCUCAAGUAUUUGCUGAAGAACUUGAGUUUGCUCAUGCUGACUUCUGGCUAUUUAUUUGCUCUUAUUGUUCUGCUACUCUAGUGUUUUGCAACUGGUAUGUUAUUCUUAGUUAAAUAAUGCCCUUUCUACUAUGUGUUUAUUUUAUGUCUUAGCCUGUUAUGCUUGCCUACCCUGUGUAUCUAUAUCCUAGUCUAUUGUGCCUCUUUCCUUAUGUUUCUGCAACUCUGUGCAUGCCUGUCUUAUGUGAAUCCCUGUCCCUUUACGCCUUUUGUAUGAAGAGUAUAGUUCCAUUCAUGACAGUUUCCUAUUAUUGCUAUCCAUGACUUUGAACUGGGUUCUUUUGAACCCUUACUCAAACCAAUUCCCACUCCCCUUUUCCGCUUUAUGUGCUGAGCCUUGACUCAAGUCUGAUGGUGUCCUAAUUAACAUACUGACUCAGGUCUGCUCUUAAUUUGUUUGGACAAAGCAAAUGGUCAGGGGUGUGCCAGUCUAUACCCAUGGCUGGGCAUGACCACCAUUUGCUAUGGUUCCCUAAUCCCUCUCUCACUUUGCACUUAUUCCUAGUUCUGUGUUCUGUCUCCUUUGAUAAGCCAUGCUUUGGGACCCUGGAGCUCUCUCAGAACUUGGAUGCCUGAGGGCUGGCUACUCCACACUGCACUAUUCUGUUCUAAUUAUUAUCCAGAGUGUAAGCACUGCCUGGAGCCCUUGAGGCUCCUUAGAACUCUGAAACACUUUGGAUAAGAGAAGGCCUUGGAAAUUUGGAAUCCGGAAUUGGUGAAACACAUGCCUUUGGUAUUAAAGAUUGCAUUAGGAAGUUUGGAUCUAGCUGUAGGUUGUGAGGUAUUUUUAGAGUCUUUGGAAAUUUGGAAUCCGGAAUUGUUUAAUCGCAUGCUAUUGGACACUAAGGUUGCAUUAGGCUGUUUGGAUCUAAUUGUAGACUUUGAUGUAUUUUACACUUCUUCUUUUAUCUUUUUUCUGUUAUGUAAUAAGCUUUGUAUAAAGAACUCAGGGGAAGUAUAGUGAAAGGGUAUGGGAGGGAUUUAGUUUUUCUUGCAUCAAAUAAAGGGUAGAUACCAUGUCUAUAGGUUUAAUGUUUAAAUCAGCCACCUAGAUACCAUGUCUGUUGGUUUAACGUUUUAAUUCAAUCACUUAUAUAUUAUGUCUAUAGAAUUAACACUCAUCUAGAAAUUCUGCCUAUAGGGUUCAAUAUUUUAUCAUCUUGCAAAUCAUUAGAAACCCUGCCUAUAGGAUUUAAUAUUCAUGUAAUCAGCUGCAUAUAGAAACCAUGCCUAUAGGACAUGCAUAUGCGC